AUGCGAGUCGAGAGGGGUUAAGCCCUCGGCGAACUGCUCAGUAACACGUGGGUAAUCUACCCUCAGGACAGGGAUAACCCCGGGAAACUGGGGAUAAUACCUGAUAGGUGAAGAUGUCUGGAACGAUUCUUCGCUCAAAGCUCCGGCGCCUGAGGAUGAGCCUGCGCCUGAUUAGGUUGUUGGCGGUGUAACGGACCACCAAGCCUGAGAUCAGUACGGGCACUGAGAGGUGUAGCCCGGAGAUGGGGUCUGAGACACGGCCCCAGGCCCUACGGGGCGCAGCAGGCGCGAAAACUCCGCAAUACGCGAAAGCGUGACGGGGGGACCCUAAGUGCGUCAUCGCAAGAUGAUGCUUUUUUAGAGUGUAAAUAGCUUUAAGAAUAAAAGCGGGGUAAGACCGGUGCCAGCCGCCGCGGUAACACCGGCCGCUUGAGUGGUGAUCGCUAUUAUUGGGCCUAAAGCGUUCGUAGCCGGUUUGGUAAGUCCUUGGGUAAAUCCUGACGUUCCAAGUUAGGAAUUCUAGGGAUACUGCCUGACUCGGGGCCGAGAGAAGUCGGAGGUACUCCUGGGGUAGUGGUGAAAUACUGUAAUCCUGGGGGGACCACCAGUGGCGAAGGCGUCCGACUAGAGCGGGCUCGACGGUGAGGAACGAAAGCCAGGGGAGCGAACGGGAUUAGAUACCCCGGUAGUCCUGGCCGUAAACGCUGUGGGCUAGGUGUUGCAUGCUCUAC
rnacentral:rRNA from 1 species